UGAGUACAUGAGGGUUAACUGCGUGUAAGAAUGGGGUAACACCGGGAAACCGGGGCUAAUACCGGAUGCUUGAUUGAACCGCAGGGUUCAAUCGUAAAAGGUGGCUUUUGCCUACCACUUGCAGAUGGACCCGCGGCGCAUUAGCUAGUUGGUGAGGGAACGGCUCAGCAAGGAGACGAUGCUGAUCCGACCUGAGAGGGUGAUCGGCCACACUGGGACUGAGACCCGGACCACACUCCUACGGGAGGCAGCGGUAGGGAAUCUUCCGCAAUGGACGAAGGUCUGACGGAGCAACGCGGCGUGAGUGAGGAAGGUUUUCGGAUCGUAAAACUCUGUUGUUAGGGAAGAACAAGUACCGUUCGAAUAUGGCGGCACCUUGACGGUACCUAACCAGAAAGCCACGGCUAACUACGUGCCAGCAGCCGCGGUAAUACGUAGGUGGCAAGCGUUGUCCGGAAUUAUUGGGCGUAAAGCGCGCGCAUGCGGUUUCUUAAGUCUGAUGUGAAAGCCCCCGGCUCAACCGGGGAGGGUCAUUGGAAACUGGGGAACUUGAGUGCAGAAGAGGAGAGUGGAAUUCCACGUGUAGCGGUGAAAUGCGUAGAGAUGUGGAGGAACACCAGUGGCGAAAGCGACUCUCUGGUCUGUAACUGACGCUCAGGCGCGAAACGUGGGGAGCGAACAGGAUUACAUACCCUGGUAGUCCACCCGUAACGAUGAGUGCUAGUGUUAGAGGUUUCCCCCUUUAUGCUGCACAAACGCAUUAUCACUCCGCUGGUCAGUACUGUCGCAGACUGAUCUCAAAGAAUUAACGGGCGCCGCCCAGCGUUGAUCUGUGUUUUAUUUCAAGCACGCGCACACCUUACAUGUCUGGCGUCUCUGAGAAACUAGAGAUAUGUUUUCCCUUC
rnacentral:rRNA from 1 species